UUUAUUAUUACAAUUGUAUAGCAUUGUGACGAAGUAGAAGAAAAGCAUUUAUUUAAGUAAGUAGACAAAAAAUUAUAAGUUUUCAAAAGGGACAUUUGUAUAUGUCCAUAAGAGUGUAUAUAUAUAUAUAUAUGUAAUACAUUAUUGAGCGUUUGUGUGUAUAGCAUUAAUAUACGUAUGUGUACAUGAGCAAAUAUUAUAAAAAAAAUAUAUAUAAUAAAAUAAAAUAAUAAUAAAAUGAAAAGCAUUAGCCAUUAGUUAAAUACUUCGCUAGCUACAUGUUUAAAAAAGUUAAAAGAUUAAAAACAGUUGACAUUUUUAUAACUUUUUAAACAAGCACAAAUUGUUAACAUAUGUACACACAUAUAUAUAUAAUAACAUUCAACAUUUGUGGUAAAAAAACAUAAACACACAAUUAUUUGUUUAUGUAUGCAUAAUUUAAAAUACUAUAAUCAUUUAAAUUAUUCUGCAAACAUAUAAACAUAUAUUAAUAAACAUAUGUGUUUUUUUUUUUUUUUUUUUUUUUUUUUUUUUUUUUUUUUUUUNNNNNNNNNNNNNNNNNNNNNNNNNNNNNNNNNNNNNNNNNNNNNNNNNNNNNNNNNNNNNNNNNNNNNNNNNNNNNNNNNNNNNNNNNNNNNNNNNNNNUUUUUUUUUUUUUUUUUUUUUUUUUUUUUUUUUUUUAGAUUACUUUUGUCCUAUGUGUCAUUUUUUUUUUUCUUUUUUUUAAAAAAAAAUCAUUUUUGUUAAAAAUUGUAAUAUAUUUUAACACAUUUCUAAUUAUCUAAACAGUUGUAGAUUCAUUAAUUUGUAUGAAAUUCAAAAGAAAAUAUUUUGUAUUUUUAAAAUAUUAUAUAUAUGUAUUAAUAUAUAUAUUUAUAUACACACACACUAAAUAAAUAAAUAAAUAAAUAAAAGGAACUAAUUUCAUAUUUUAACUCCUUACCAAACAAUAUUAUAAACAAUGGAAAACAGAGGAUGUAAUAUGAUUUUUAGUGACUGUUGCCAAGAAGAAAAAAAUGAAUCAGUAUAUCAGUAUGAGGAUAUGGGAGAACAUGUACCUAACGAAACUUAUUACGAUGGGGAAAAUAACUAUGCAUAUGAACAUAUAGAAAGACCAGUAUUACAUGUUCAAGGAGAUCAACCAGUGUUUAAUAUACCUGUAUACCAAGAUAAAUAUAUUCGAGAUAAAAUAAUUGAAACGCAGACGUAUGAAGUUCAAGAUAUAGUACAACCCAAAUGUUACUUGCAAGAAACGAAGCAUGAUAUACCAACUGUUGAAUUAUUUUAUAAAGAGAAAAAUGUAGCGAUUCCCCAAGAACAAGUAGUAGAAAAAAUAGUUGAAGUUGAUACGCCUAUUGGAUAUUCACCAGUAUAUUCUCCAGUUUGGGAUGUAAGAGAAAUUCCAAGAGUAGUACCAAAAUAUGAAGGUGAACAGAAAAUUAUUCAAGUAGAAGUACCACAAAUAAAAUAUAUCGAUAAAUAUGUUGAAAAAGAAAUAGUAGUUGAUGUAAAAGAAAAGAUUGUUCCUAAAAUUACUGAAAUAGAAAAAGAAGUUGAUAUAGUAAAAUAUGAAUGGAAAGAAAAAUAUCAAGAUGUACCUGUAUGUAAAUAUGUACCAAAAAUUGACGUUGAAUUAGAUUGUCCACCUCCACUUAUAGUUCCAUAUCCAGAAGUUCAUUUUCAAAAUAUUUCUGAAGUUAUGAAUCCAAAUCAAAGACUUGUAGAUAUUUCUAAUGAGACAUUAUUAAAAAAUACAGUUAUAAAUAAUCCCACUUUAAAUAAACAUGUUGAUAAAUCUGUAAAACAAAAUUUAAUCAACAUAGCAAAAUUGACAAACAAAAAAAAAAAUGAACAAAAUCUAAGAAAAAAAAAAAAAAAAAAAAAAGGAAUAAAUUCUUUUAUGUUAAUAAACUUUUUAUAUAUACUAAUUUUAACCAAUAAUAAAAUAAGUUUAGUUAAUAAAUUAGUUGAACAGUAUAUGCAUCAUAGGUAUGCUGUGGAUAUAGAAGAAAGAUACCAAAAAUCAAACAUAACAAAACAUAAUAAAGAACAUAAAAAUUCUUUUCCAACAUAUACAACAUCUGAGUUAAAUUUCAACUUAUUGUAUGAAGAAACUGAUAAAAUGUUGAAUUAUUCCCCUUUAGAAGGCGAUGAAGAUAUGUCUUUAAUACUUUUAAAGUUGUUAUACAUAAAUAUAUUAUUAAAUAAAUAUAAUUAUAUGUACCAUAUAUUGAGUGAAAUAUGUAAAUAUACCGACUAUUAUUAUAAUAACGAAUUUAUAGGAAUAGCGAAACAAGUUUGUUAUCAUAUUUAUAAUUUUACAAAUUUAUUUGAAAAAUAUAAAAGUAUGGAAUAUACAUGGAACAGAAUUACAAAGGAUAUAUAUAUUAAUGAUCAACAUAUGUAUUUGGAUUUGGGUUUUGAAAAAAACAAUGGUCAACCUUUUAAGUAA
ensembl:lncRNA